rnacentral:tRNA from 1 species
GGGGAUAUAGCUAAGGUAGAGUGCUUGCCUAGUAUGCAUGAGGCCCUGGGUUUGAUCUCCAAUAUUUCUA